rnacentral:tRNA from 1 species
UAAGAGCUAGUGUACAAUCCACGAAUGAAUUUGAAUCAUUAAAAGGAACUAAAAUUUCCGCUCUUAA